GCCUGGCUAGCUCAGUUGGUACAGCAUGAGUAUCUUAAUCUUAGGGUCGUGGGUUCGAGCCCCACGUUGGGCG